UACGAAGGGGGCUAGCGUUGCUCGGAAUUACUGGGCGUAAAGCGCACGUAGGCGGAUUGUUAAGUCAGGGGUGAAAUCCUGGAGCUCAACUCCAGAACUGCCUUCGAUACUGGGAGUCUCGAGUUCGGGAGAGGUGAGUGGAACUGCGAGUGUAGAGGUGAAAUUCGUAGAUAUUCGCAAGAACACCAGUGGCGAAGGCGGCUCACUGGCCCGAUACUGACGCUGAGGUGCGAAAGCGUGGGGAGCAAACAGG
rnacentral:rRNA from 1 species